rnacentral:lncRNA from 1 species
CUUGGAUACUCCGUGAUGGCAAAGAAACCACAUGAACUGAUUCAGAGGCAAGUUUUCUUGCUUCCUGGUUUUGCCUUUCUUGCGGCAGUGGAGCAUAGCUCAUCCUUCGGCUGCUCUCUCCAUACCCACGGAUCUGUGAUCUGCUGCGUGGACCCCUGAAGCCUGCUCCAUAGGGUGGUCUCCACCGAAAAGAAAACCUGCCAUCUGGAGACUGGGCACGAGCUCUCAGAGGUCUGCUUGGCAUGUCCUUCUCUGCGGCGGCGGGGAGCAGCGCGGCGAGCAACAGCAGCAUCGGCAGCAGCGCGGCCCGGGGCUGCGGCGGGGCCGCGGGGGGCGCCGCCAUGGGGCCGGGGAGCGGCGGGGCGCGGAGCUGCCGCCCGCCCGGCGUCCGUCUCCGCGGGGCUGCCCCGCUCCUUCCUGCGCGCCCCGCCG